AACGAACGCUGGCGGCAUGCCUAACACAUGCAAGUCGAACGCCUGUAGCAAUACAGGAGUGGCAGACGGGUGAGUAACACGUGGGAAUCUACCCAGUAGCUCGGAAUAACCGCGGGAAACUGCGGCUAAUACCGGAUACGCCCCGAGGGGGAAAGGAGCAAUCCUCUAUUGGAGGAGCCCGCGUCUGAUUAGCUAGUUGGUGAGGUAACGGCUCACCAAGGCGACGAUCAGUAGCUGGUUUGAGAGAACGACCAGCCACACUGGGACUGAGACACGGCCCAGACUCCUACGGGAGGCAGCAGUGGGGAAUAUUGGACAAUGGGGGAAACCCUGAUCCAGCAAUGCCGCGUGGGUGAUGAAGGCCUUCGGGUUGUAAAGCCCUUUUGUCGGGGACGAUGAUGACGGUACCCGACGAAUAAGCUCCGGCUAACUUCGUGCCAGCCGCCGCAGUAA
rnacentral:rRNA from 1 species